rnacentral:sRNA from 1 species
UGCUAAACGUUGUUCUGAUAUUAUGUG